rnacentral:rRNA from 1 species
AUUGAACGCUGGCGGCAGGCCUAACACAUGCAAGUCGAGCGAGCGGCGGACGGGUGAGUAAUGUAUGGGGACUGCCCGAUAGAGGGGGAUAACUACUGGACACGGUAGCUAAUACCGCAUACUAUCGGAUAACCCAUAUGGGAUUAGCUAGUAGGUGAGGAAAUGGCUCACCUAGGCGACGAUCCCUAGCUGGUCUGAGAGGAUGAUCCGCCACACUGGGACUGAGACACGGCCCAGCCUCCUAGGGAGGCAGCAGUGGGGAAUAUUGCACAAUGGGCGCAAGCCUGUUGCAGCCAGGCGGGGGGUAGGAAGAAGGCCCUAGGGUUGUAAAGUACUUUCAGUCGGGAGGCGUUACCGACAGAAGAAGCACCGGCUAACUCCGUGCCAGCGGCCGCGGUAAUA